UUAACACAUGCAAGUCGAACGCCCCGCAAGGGGAGUGGCAGACGGGUGAGUAACGCGUGGGAAUCUACCUAGUUCUACGGAACAACAGAGGGAAACUUCUGCUAAUACCGUAUACGCCCUACGGGGGAAAGAUUUAUCGGAAUUAGAUGAGCCCGCGUAAGAUUAGCUAGUUGGUGGGGUAAUGGCCUACCAAGGCGACGAUCUUUAGCUGGUCUGAGAGGAUGAUCAGCCACACUGGGACUGAGACACGGCCCAGACUCCUACGGGAGGCAGCAGUGGGGAAUAUUGGACAAUGGGCGCAAGCCUGAUCCAGCCAUGCCGCGUGAGUGAUGAAGGCCUUAGGGUUGUAAAGCUCUUUCAGUGGGGAAGAUAAUGACGGUACCCACAGAAGAAGCCCCGG
rnacentral:rRNA from 1 species